rnacentral:rRNA from 1 species
UACGUAGGGGGCAAGCGUUAUCCGGAUUUACUGGGUGUAAAGGGAGCGUAGGUGGCAUGGUAAGCCAGAAGUGAAAACCCGGGGCUCAACCCCGCGGAUUGCUUUUGAACUAUCAGGCUGGAGUGCUGGAGGGGUAAGCGGAAUUCCUAGUGUAGCGGUGAAAUGCGUAGAUAUUAGGAGGAACACCGGUGGCGAAGGCGGCUUACUGGACAGAAACUGACACUGAGGCUCGAAAGCGUGGGGAGCAAACAGG